GACCAGACUCCUACGGGAGGCAGCAGUGGGGAAUAUUGGGCAAUGGGCGCAAGCCUGACCCAGCAACGCCGCGUGAAGGAAGAAGGCUUUCGGGUUGUAAACUUCUUUUCUCAGGGACGAAGAAAAUGACGGUACCUGACUAAGAAGCCCCGGCUAACUACGUGCCAGCAGCCGCGGUAAUACGUAGGGGGCAAGCGUUAUCCGGAUUUACUGGGUGUAAAGGGAGUGUAGACGGUUCUGCAAGCCAGAUGUGAAAUUCCGGGGCUCAACCCCGGACCUGCAUUUGAAACUGUUGGUCUUGAGUAUCGGAGAGGCAGGCGGAAUUCCUAGUGUAGCGGUGAAAUGCGUAGAUAUUAGGAGGAACACCAGUGGCGAAGGCGGCCUGCUGGACGACAGCUGACGGUGAGGCGCGAAAGCGUGGGGAGCAAACAGGAUUAGAUACCCUUGUAAAC
rnacentral:rRNA from 1 species